rnacentral:rRNA from 1 species
UACGUAGGGUGCGAGCGUUGUCCGGAAUUAUUGGGCGUAAAGAGCUUGUAGGCGGUUUGUCGCGUCUGCUGUGAAAAUCCGGGGCUCGACCCCGGACUUGCAGUGGGUACGGGCAGACUAGAGUGUGGUAGGGGAGACUGGAAUUCCUGGUGUAGCGGUGAAAUGCGCAGAUAUCAGGAGGAACACCGAUGGCGAAGGCAGGUCUCUGGGCCACUACUGACGCUGAGAAGCGAAAGCAUGGGGAGCGAACAGG